GAGGAGAGACAAUGUUUUCCCUAAAGCUCUUUGUGUUGUUGGCAGCCAUACACAGUGUUUACUCACAGGUUGUGCUCACACAGUCUGAACAGUCAGUAGUUGUGUCUCCAGGUGCUUCCUACAAACUGACCUGUGCCUGCAGUGGGUUUACUCUUAGUAGCUAUCGCAUGCACUGGAUCCGUCAGGCACCUGGAAAAGGACUGGAAUGGAUCUUACACUAUUAUACAGACUCUGACAAAGGCUCAGCUCAGUCAGUUCAGGGCAGAUUCACAGCAUCUAAGGACAGCUCUAAUCUCUAUCUACACAUGAGUCAGUUAAAGACUGAAGACACUGCAGUGUAUUACUGUGCAAGAGAUUCACUUUUACGCACCCCUGACAGAAUCUACUCACCAAGGAUGGAUUCAGCAGAGGAAACGGAGCUGCGCCGAGCUCUUCAGCAGCAGGGCUCUCUUCUGGGUCGACAGCAGGAGGAAAUUGAAGUGAAGUGA